UAAGGAAUAUUGGACAAUGGGCGCAAGCCUGAUCCAGCCAUGCCGCGUGAAUGAAGAAGGCCUUAGGGUUGUAAAGUUCUUUCGUCUGCAAGGAUAAUGACAGUAGCAGAAGAAGAAGCUCCGGCUAAAUUCGUGCCAGCAGCCGCGGUAAUACGAAUGGAGCAAGCGUUGUUCGGAAUCACUGGGCGUAAAGCGUGCGUAGGCGGUUUUAUAAGUCAGGAGUGAAAGCCUGGGGCUUAACCCCAGAAUUGCUUUUGAAACUAUAUAACUCGAGUCCCGGAGAGGUUGGCGGAAUUCCUAGUGUAGAGGUGAAAUUCGCAGAUAUUAGGAGGAACACCAGUGGCGUAGGCGGCCAACUGGACGGGUACUGACGCUGAGGCACGAAAGCGUGGGGAGCAAA
rnacentral:rRNA from 1 species